rnacentral:lncRNA from 1 species
AAGGAUUUUGGGGAGGUACCACUGUAAAGCGAGAUUAUGGAGGUACAAAAGAAGAGGUACUCUCGCGAGAUGAAGGUGCCUUUGAUGCGAGUUUUAUUGGUAUAUUGGAGAAUGGAAAUAUUAUGUAUAAGAAAGUUGAUGAUUUUAAAAGAAAAGAAAGAAAAAGAUUAUAUAAUAUUGAAGGACAAUUACGCAUGAUAGGUACAUUGCAAGAUGAUGAGAGGAUUUUGGGUGUUUAUGAAGAAAAUGGGCUGGAAGAUUCAUUGAAAUUGAUUACAUCUAUUGGGUUAGGGGAUAAUGAUAAGAUUGUUGAGAUUCAUUCAAGAGAGGUUUAUACCAUGCUUGAAUCUUUUCAAGCACCAGAAGUCAUAGUAGAGACGAGAUAUAAAACGACAGAUAAGAAGGUAAAGCAUGUUGCCGGACCAUUACUAGAAGAUUCUAAAGAACAAAUGGGAGAAGCAUCAAAAGAAGCAAGUUUAAGAGAUCCAAUGAGUAUUGGACAUCAGUUUACUAAAGAGACUUUUGAAGAAUUGAAGAUUGAUUCUGAUGGUUCUUUAUUGCCGGAGGAAAUUACUUGCUUCAAAAAGAUGUUGGCUAAACAAGGUAGAUCGUUUGCCUUUGAAUCUCAUGAAAUUGGGUGUGUGGAUCCAAAUAUUAUAACACCUAUGGUUAUCUUCACUGUACCGCAUGUGCCUUAGAAUCUAAGAUCGAUUCCAGUACCGAGGGCACAUUUACCUAAAUUGGUUGAGCUAUUAAAAGAAAAGAUAAAGAUAAAAAUAUUGGAACCCUCGUUUGCGCCGUAUUCUAGUCGAUGGUUUAUGGUACCUAAGAAGAAUGGGUCACUAUGGUUUAUUCAAGAUAUGCAACCGGUGAAUGCAGUAACUGUAAGGAAUGUAGGAAUUGAACCUAUUGUGGAUGAAUUUGCUGAGGCAUUUGCUGGAAGGGCGAUCUAUUCAAGGGGUGAUUUGUAUUCAGGUUAUGAUCAAUUUCAACUUGCCAAAGGAAGUAGAGAUAUGACAACGAUGAGGACACCACUUGGAUUGAUUAGAAUGUGCACUCUUCCUCAAGGCGCGACCAACUCAGUUGCGCAUAUGAUGAAUGAGAUGAAUAAGGUAUUGAGAGAUUUUAUUCCGAAAAAGACUAUGCCUUUUCUGGAUGAUGUUCCUAUAAAAGGGUGCAACGAAGGAGACAAGGAUGAAACUUUAGAUACGAGGGGGUGUCGCAGAUAUGUUGUUGAUCAUAUACAAGAUUGUGAAAAGAUUUUAACUCGGCUUGGAGAAAUUCAUCUUACAUUAUCGGGUAUGAAGUCCGUAUUUAGAGCACGAGAGGUUGUAAUUGUUGGACAUUUAUGUGGAUCUUACGGAAGAAAACCAGAUCCGACUAAAGUUGAUGCAAUUGGAAGGAUGAAAGAGGAUUGUGAUUCUUUAACAGAGGUUCGCAGGUUUUUGGGUGCAUGUAUAUUUUAUCGAAUCUGGAUCCCUCAUUUUGCUCACAUAGCGGAUCUAUUAUAUGAACUGUUACGCAAGGGUUACCGAUUUAAAUGGGAAGAAAGGCAUAUUCAGGCAAUGCAAAGAUUGAAGAAAUUAUUGAUGUCACCUCCAAUAUUGAAAAAGGUUGAUUAUAAGUGUAAUUGUCAAGGACAAAGACUCGAUGAGGGAAAAUAUACACCAAAAGGCUAUCUCGAUAUAAUAAGUCGAAAUAUAAACAAGUAGGUAUAUUAAAAGGAAACUGGAAUGGCUAUUGCCACAAGACAAGAAACUAAAGACUCUUGAACCUGGACUAGAAGCAAGAAAGGAGUUGAUAAGAGUGAAGAAGCCUUCACUCUUGUCUCUAUAUAUACUAUCUAACUAGGGGCUACGUGGCGACGUUCUAUAGGACCUCCAAUAUGUGUUGACUUUGUAGGACACAUGCCUUGACUUACAAGGCAAGUUUUUCUACAUGUGGGCCACAUAGUUAGCUUGAUAUUCAAGCUAACAACAUGUGUGGCACAUGGCCAACUUGUUGACCACGUUUCUAAUCCAAAAAGUCAAUUAAAGACACCUAUGAAGUCAAAGCAACGUCUAGGAAGUUUCUAAGAAGCUUCUAUAUUAAAUAUUAUAGAAUUAACUUACUUUUAUCUACUUUUACUUACUUCUACCUAUUUCUAUAUGUAAUUAUUAGCUUACAUGAUUAUGGCCGUGACAUUACCCCCCCUUCUAGAGACGAGUUCCACGAGGAGCGGUCAUCAUAUGUUGAAGAAAUCUAUGAUGCGACGAAUUAUAUUCACCACAUACUCUGAUCUCUGUUCUCUUCGAAGAUGAUUGAUAGGGCCUCUCAACCAUCGGUAGUGUCCCAUACCAGGGCGGGAAGACCACCCAAUUAUUUGAUCUUUGUUGAGGCCUUCGUAACUUCCUUCGAAUAGAAUAUUCGGAACACCAUCAGGAGUUGUUCCUACCUCUAGCAAAAUCACCAAACAUCGAGAGUCCUUUCCCAAAUUGUGAUACCAAACACAUUGUAUCUCACCAUCUGUUCGAGGAAGAACAUGUAGUUCUUGAAGAUCUUCAUCUCGAUUGCGUCGUCUUGAAGGUUGUGACAAUCGUAAUGUCUCGUCCGACAGGUCAGCAAACGAAGGUUCUUGAGUUGAAUCUGCUAGUUGUUGGCUCUCCAUCUAAUUAGCGUCACAAAUGCAAAGAAGUUACAAACAAGGAUAAGAAAUUGAAUGUUAUCUUGCCUCAAUCUUGUCUCUUUUAUAAGAGAGAUAUUCAUCUUGGUUUUGAUGGAUGUCGUUGAUGAAAAACUUUGACUUUAGCUGAUGCAUUUCCUAGAUUCCUGGAUGGCUCCCAUGUGCGUUCACUAAUAUCAUAUCCGCGCCAAUGAACAAGAUAUUCCAGCUUAUUUCGGCACCGCCUUGAGUCUAAUAUCUCUUCCACCUCAAAUUCUUCAUUAUUAUCUACUUCUAUAGGAGGCGAUGGCAUUUGUCUUCUUCCUUGUAUAUCCACUGUCUUAUAUGGUUCAAGAAGAGACACGUGAAAUACAGGAUGGAUCUUCAUUGACUCCGGUAGAUGUAACCGAUAUGCAACUGGGUUGAUCUGUUCAGAAACAGAAAAGAAGCCAAGCCUACGAUAGUCCAAUUUGUCACAAGGUCGAGUAGUCUUGAUAUUGCGACGAAGUAGCCAUACCUUAUCACCCACGUUGAUUUGUGGUUGCUCCUUACGAUAUAGAUCUGCAUUUAUCUUUUGUCGUUCUUGAGCUUCCUUCAAUUGCGUCUUCAUUAUUGCAUGUAACUCUGACAACCGAUUUGCCAUAUCUUCUGCUGCAGGAUUAUCAACUUUUGAAAAAUCAAAAGUAUCAAGUCAUGGAUGAUAGCCAUAAUUGGCAAAGAAAGGUGUUUGUUGCGUGGAAGAAUGUACCGUAUUAUUAUAAGCAAACUCUGCCAAUGGCAGAAGGGUUGUCCAAUCAUCUUGUUGGUAGUUGAUAGUACACCUUAAAUAUUGCUCCAAGACUUGGUUUACGCGCUCUGUUUGUCCAUCAGUUUGAAGAUGGAAAGCCGAAGAUAGCUUUAUGUCCACUUUUAAAAUCUUGAAAAGGGUCCUCCAAAAUCUUGACACAAAUUGAGUUCCCCUAUCUGAUAUGAUAUCUUUAGGUAAUCCAUGAUAGCGAUAGAUAUUAUCAAUGAAAAGCUUAGCUGUUUCUUCACCUGUGAUAGAUUUUGUACAUGGCACAAAAUGUGCCAUCUUGGUGAAACGAUCUACUAUCACAAAUAUAGAAUCAUAAGAUCUUGAGCUUGGAAGAUCUGUGAUGAAAUCCAUAGAAACAGAAGACCAUGGUUGUUCUGGUAUAGGUAAUGGCUGAAGAAGUCCGUAAGGUCGAUGACGAGGAAUUUUUGAUCUUGAACAAAUAUCACAUGAUUGUACAAAGUCUUUGACUGACUUCCACAUUUGUGGCCACCAAAAAUCUCUUGAUAUGAGUUCCAAAGUCUUAUUAUAUCCAAAGUGCCCUGCUGCUGGAAAGUCAUGACGUACUUGAAGAACACGUAAAUGUGCUUCUCCUUCUGGAACAUAUAGGCGUCCUUCAAAAUAUAAUAGAUUAUUCUUGAACUCGAACUUAGAAGGAUCAUGAGACUUGGAAGAAUUAUUCUCGAUAUUAUAAACAAGAGGGUCUGAGGACAUACUGGACUGGAUUUACUUGAGAAAAGUUGAAUCAACAGUCAAUGUUGAUUUCAUUGCUCGGAGAUGAAAUUGCUUCGGUUUCAAGAGGACCGUUCUUUGUUGCUCAAAAGCUGCAUCUCCUUCUUUUGGUACAAAAUAAGAACGUCUAGAUAGGGCAUCAGACAAACCUUGUUGUUUUUCUGGCCGAUAAGUGAUAAUGAACUCGAAUCUUGACAAAGACAUACUCCAACGAGCUUGACGACGAUUCAACACGCGUGCUGACAUGAAAUACUCGAGGUUCUUGUGAUCUGUAUACAUAGUGACUAGACUAGAAGCGCCUUCUAGAUAAUGACGCCAUUCUUGAAAGGAAUCCACGAUCGCAAGAAGUUCUUUAUCGUGGAUCUCAUAAUUGAUCUCGGCUGCUGAGAAUUUUCUUGAAUGAAAAGCUAUCGGAUGAAGUUUGUCAUCUGUUCCCAUUUGUGAUAAAACUGCACCCAAGGCAAAAUCUGAUGCAUCUGUUUCCAUAAAAAAUGCCUUGGAAAAAUCAACACGAUAUAAGACUGGUGCAGAGACAAACGAUGUCUUCAAGGCUUCAAAUGCUGCUUCCGCUUCUUGAUUCCAUUGGAAUUUAUCUUUACUAGUCAAGCGUGUAAGUGGAGCUGCAACUCGUGAGAAAUCUUUGAUGAAGAUCCGAUAGUAAUUGGCAAAUCCCAAGAAACAUUGGACAUCUCUUACUGUCCUUGGAAUCUUCCAAUCCAUGAUUGUUCGGACUUUCUUAGAAUCCAUCAUGAGACCAUCAUUUGAAAUGAUGUAUCCUAAAAAUCAACUUGAGUAGUGUGAAAUACACACUUUUUCAUCUUGGCGUACAAUCCUGCAUCUCUAAGUUUUUGUAAUACUUGACGAACAUGUAUUUCAUGUUCUUCGACGUUCUUAGAAUAGAUCAGGAUAUCGUCUAGAUAGCAGACGACAAAAUUGUCUAAGAAUUCACGAAAUACAUCAUUCAUGAGAUGUUGAAAAGCAGCUGGUGCAUUCGUGAGUCCAAAGGGCAUAACAUUAUAUUCGAAAUGUCAAACAUGGUUCGAAACGCAGUCUUCCAUUCAUCUCCUUCUUUGAUCCGUACUAGAUUAUAUGCUCCUCUAAGAUCUAUUUUUGUAUAGAUCUUAGCUUGAUUCAACUGGUCAAGGAGUCCUGAUAUCAAAGGUAAUGGAUACCUAUUCUUGAUUGUGAUCUUGUUGAGUCCUCGAUAAUCAACACACAUUCGUAAAGAUCCAUCUUUUUUCUUUACGAAUAGAAUUGGAGCUCCUGCUGGAGAUUUUGAAUGGCAUAUAAAAUUCUUCGCUAAAUUCUCAUCAAUAUAUGUCUUGAGUUCAGCCAUCUCAUCUUACGAUAAACUGUAAAUUGGUCCAAAUGGUGGCUGAGUUCCUUCCUUGAGGUCGAUUGAACAAUCAUAUGGACGAUGCUCAGGAAGAAUAUCUGCAUUCUUUUUGUCAAAAACGUCUUGAUACUUCUGAUAUUGACUUGGAAUGCCAAUUGAAGUCUUUACGUUUUCAGAAAUAGGUGCAGCAUAAAUAGCAAAAGUUGAUCCUUCUUUUGUUGCGUGUAUAAAUACUUUUGCACCUAUCAGUACGGGUUUUACUAUACUAGACUUAUAAUUUUUUACUUGGUUGGUAGAACUAUUAAUAACGCUUUGGGAAAAGUCAAGUUUACGCAAAUUCCAAUCUAUUUGAGGGUUAUAUUUUUCUAGCCAGGAUAAACCUAAAAUAACUGGAUUGGACGGGGAUUUAAUUAUGUUAAAAGCUAUGUAGCUAUCAUGACCGUCUAUUGUUACUUUUAUAGGAUGAGUUUCAUGAGUGACAUCUCCAGAAGACAAGGGACGACCAUCUAUGACUUCUACAUGUACUGGUUUAGGUUUCUGUACAAAAGGUAUUUUACGACUUUUAACAAAUUGUUCAUCUAAAAAACAUGCUGAGGCUCCCGAAUCUAAUAAAGCAGAGGCUUUGUAAUUCUUAGGUCCUAAAUAUAAGUCUAUUAUAAAACAAGGAGAGGGUUCUGAGGAGAGGAUAGGACCUUCAUUAGGAAUUGUACAAGGUUCCAGCUGCACGGUCCCUAUUGUAGCUGGACGAAUCCGUUUUCCGACAUGUUGUCUUCUUUGACCGUCGUACCCCUCAUUUUAUAGUUGCGUCGUUUCUUUGGACAAUGUUGAGCAGUGUGCUUAGGUUCUCCGCAAUAUAAACAUAAUCCUUCUUGACGACGACGAAUCUUUUCUUGCUCAGUUAGGGGUUUAAAACGUACCGCGUCAAUUUGCAUGUCUUCUACUUCUGAAUAUACGUUUGGCAAAGAUGUUGAUGUUGCCAUUGAAUAAUAACGUUGAGGUUCCCGUGAAUGAUUCUCGGAUCAAAAUUCGAAAAGUCGAUUAUCACAUUUUACCGCAAAAUCGAUUGCUUGACUCAAAGUUUGAGGAUUAGGUAAGUUGAGUAUCAAUUUCUUUACUUCGUAUUGCAAUCCAUAAAGAAAUUGACUGAUGAGUGCAGCAUCAUCCCACUUGAUGUCAAUUGCAAGUUGUCAAAAUUGUGAAGCAUAUACUGUUACUGAGCGAUUUUCUUGUCGCAAAAUUUGGAUCUUAUUUGUUACAACACGAGUUGCAUCGUGUUCACCAUACAUAGAUCGAAACUCCGCCAAAAAAGCUUCCAAAUUGUUCAAUAUUGGAUUUCGUUGUUCAAGAAAAGACGAAAACCACGAUAAUGCAGAACCAGAAAGUAGAGUGCCAAUAAACCUGACUUGUGAUCCUGGAGUUGGAUAGCUUUGCGGUUGAAGUUCAAUUGCCAAUUGUACUUGAUUGAUGAACCCUCGAAACUUUGAUCUCGUACCAUCAAAUUUCUCAGGUAAGGCAAUUCUUGGUUCUCUAGUGCUUAUAGGGUGUUGUACAAUUGGAGAAGAAACGUGAUUUGUUGUAGAUGUUGAAGCAGCUCCGAUCAACUCUAUAUCUCCACUUUCUGCUAUUCUUGUUCUUUCCUGUGUUGGUGAAUUGAGUUGAUGCAUCGCAAGCAUUAACUCCCUCAUUUGCUCUUGCAUUUGUGCCAUUGCACUCUUCAUUUCAACAAGCUCUGCCAUAAUGACACUAAGAAGAAAAAUUUGUUUGAUAUUGCUCAAGACAAAAGAAAAGAAAGACUUGAUAACAAAGAAGAUACUAAGAACAAUAUCAGUUUAGAAGUGGGUAAUCCGCAAACUUCUAAUACGCUUAUGUCUUGUCAAGAGAAAGGGGUAAUCCACUCUUACUCAAGAAAAAACAAAGCUCUGAUAUUGUAAGUGUACUCUUGUCAAUCUUUCAAGGACAAAGACUCGAUGAGGGAAAAUAUACACCAAAAGGCUAUCUCGAUAUAAUAAGUCAAAAUAUAAACAAGUAAGUAUAUUAAAAGGAAACUAGAAUGGCUAUUGCCACAAGACAAGAAACUAAAGACUCUUGAACCUGGACUAGAAGCAAGAAAGGAGUUGACAAGAGUGAAGAAGCCUUCACUCUUGUCUCUAUAUAUACUAUCUAACUAGGGGCUACGUGGUGACGUUCUAUAGGACCUCCAAUAUGUGUUGACUUUGUAGGACACAUGCCUUGACUUACAAGGCAAGUUUUUCUACGUGUGGGCCACAUAGUUAGCUUAAUCUUCAAGCUAACAACAUGUGUGGCACAUGGCCAACUUGUUGACCACGUUUCUAAUCCAAAAAGUCAAUUAAAGACACCUAUGAAGUCAAAGUAGCAUCUAGGAAGUUUCUAGGAAGCUUCUAUAUUAAAUAUUAUAGAAUUAACUUACUUUUAUCUACUUUUACUUACUUCUACCUAUUUCUAUAUGUAAUUAUUAGCUUACAUGAUUAUAGCCGUGACAGCAGUAGACUAGUGAUCCUUACUGUUGACGCUAGUCCAAUUGCCGUUGGAUGGGCUGUGGGUCAAGAUCAUUCAAAUGGGAGUAGAUUUGCAGUUCGAUUUGGAGCUAAAGUUUUAAGUAUUCGUCAGCGUGCAUAUUUGCAAGUCAAAAGAGAACUUUGAGAAGUUGUUUCGGCUAUGAAAGCUGAAAGGGAUUAUUUGAUUGGGGCAGUAGUAGUAAUUGAAACAGAUUGCUUGCCAUUGCUUGGAAUGAUUAUUAACUGUUCAACGCCAGAUAUUGCAAUGUUGAGAUGGAUUGCUUAUAUUAAGUCACUAAAUCCAGAAUUUAAGCAUAUCACUGGGAAGGAUAAUUUUGUAGCAGACAUGCUAUCUCGAGCAAGAUACAAGAGGGAGGACGAAAUGGUUGAAGACAUUGAUGAUGUGGGAUUGAAAUUCUAUUCAAUAUCAAAUUUCAAUUGAGAAGACAAGCUAUUUCUUGAAGAAUCUUAUGAAGGAGAAUUAUUGGAUAUUGGUCAUUAUUUGAAUACCUUGACUAAGCAGAGGAAUUGGUCUACAGAAAAAUUCAAACAAAUAAGAAAAAAAGCAUAUGGAUUUUUACUUUGAGAUGGAUUCUUAUGGAAGAGACCGAAGAAAAGAAUUGGGAUGCCACAACGAGUGAUAGGCAAAAGGGAAGAAAAACUAAAAUUAUUAAAAGAGUUUCAUGAUAGUUUAUGGGCAGGGCAUAUAGGAAUCUGGGCUACUUUUGCUAAACUCAAGGAACGAUAUUGGUGGAAAAAUAUGUAUCGAGAUGUGCUCUCAUUUGUAGAGUCAUGUGAAAUCUGUCAAUCGUAUUCUAAUAUCCGACAUCGAGAUGGUCUUCAUCCUACGUAUCCUCUGGCUAUUCAUUUUAAAUGGGUUGUUGAUUUGGUUAUUAUGCCGGUUGGGUUAUGGCAGAUGAAAUAUUUGGUUUUAGCUCGUGAAGAUUUAUCAAAUCAAGUAGAAGGAAGAGCAUUGAGGACAAAAUCUACAGAGGGGAUUUGUAGGUUUUUGCUUGAAGAUGUCAUUUGCCGCUACGGAUGCGUAGGAAAAAUCACUGCAGAUCGUGGAGAAUCAAAUACACAAGAAGCUCGUAAGUUCUUUGAAAGAUGUGGAGUUAAACUAUCACUGACUACUGCUUAUAAUCCAGAAGGGAAUGCAAAAAGCGGACGCGGUCAUCCACCGAUUGUGAAAGCAUUGGUUAAAGCUUGUAAUAGGAAAGUUAAAGAUUGGCCACGGCUUUUGUCAUUUGCAUUAUGGGCUGAUCGAACAACACAUAGUUCGGUGAAAGGAUAUAUGCCAGUAGAACUUAUGACAGGUCGAAAAUCAAUUAUGCCGAUUGAAGAAAAGGUACUUACUUGGAGUAUGCUACCAAGGGAAGAUGGAUUGACAAGAGAAGAACUUCUGGCUAUUAGGAUUCGAGAAUUGGAGCAUAGAACGGAAGAUGUCCAGAUAGCAUUGGGAAGAUUAAAAAGAGCAAGGUUACAAAACAAGGCGCGAUUCGAUAAGCAACAUUGAUUGAGACCAAAAGCAAUCGAGGAAGGUGACUGGGUACUUGUUUAUGACAAUAGUCGAGAUAAUCAACAUAGUACUUUGCGGAAAUUUUUAAAACGUUGGUUUGGACCAUAUGUAGUAAGAACUGUUCAUGAUAAUACGACUCACUAAUUACGGGGGUUAGAUGGUACAAAAUUGAAAAUACCAAUUGCAGGGAAGCGAGUAAAAAUAUUUAAACGAAGACACGCGGAGAUGAAUAUGGAAGACCUUAAUGAAGGUAUAGAGAUUCCGUAGCUAGAGAUUGAAAGUGAUUUGGAUAAUGAAGGUGACGAAGACGAACUGGACAAAGACUUAGAGGAUAUUUUCUAAAUCAAACAGCAAUUGGAUAAAUUGGUGCAUACCGGAGGAUGCACUGGUUCAGAGGGGGUGGAUGUUGUGUUGUAACACGAGUAUACCGUGAAAAUAUAAAGAAAGGUGACUUUUAUUAAUGUUCAGUUACCUCAAAUAUUGGGAGCAACGACCAACUCCAGUGCAAAUACUGAGUGGUCAGGUUGAGUCACCCCAUUACAGUCAGCCGGCGCAUAUUAAAAUGCUCCGUUCGAUUCCAAUAACGAGAGUCAGCAGGAAGAGAAAGGACCAAUUCUCACGACGGGUGAGCUUGGUUCGAAGAGCCAAUUGGAUCUAAUUUCAAGAAUCCAAUCUGGGUCCUCUUACCCAAUAUGAGACCUGAAUUGGCCGGGCAACCCAAUGCAGUUUAAUUACGGGACAAUCCAGGUCUUACUACGGGCCUCAACCAAUCUGACAUGAAGGACCAAUUUGAUCCAAUUACGGGGACAUCCGGGUUUUACUACUGGACUCUUAGCCAAUAUGAGACUUGAAUUGGUCGGGCGACUCAAUGUGGUCUCGAUUAUGGAGUUUUGAUUCUAUUUCUGGCUGUCCUGUUCUCUGUGCCGUUUCAGGGAACGUUGUUUUCGGUAAAAAGAUCUCUUAAAGGUAAAAACGGGGGAGAAAGCUCUGACGGCGAGAGCCAAUUUCGGAUCCAAGCUCUGACGGUGGGAGCCAAUUCUAGAUCCAAGACGGAAGAUUGAAGAAAUUCAGAGGAUAAGGUUAGGGGGGAGUUUUUUUUUUUUUUUUUUUUUUUUUUUUUUUUUUUUUUUUUUUUUUUGUUUUGGAAGAAGGGGAGAGCUAGCUUCAUGCUUUGGGCGGGGAAAGAAGACAGAGAAUUGGGGUUUUUUUCUUUUUCUUCAUUGGGUUUUGGGAAGACUGAGGCAAUCGUUGCUGAAGUCAGUGUUGUAAUGGUGAAUUGGGAUUUUUAAUGAAGUGGGUUUGAUUACUCUUGACUGUUUUGUGAAAUCGAGUUACGUCUGUGAUAAAGAAUUAAAAGGGUGUCUAUAGGAUUGAGUAUGCGGAGUGAAUGAAAUUUAUUGGGUUAAUCUAACAAGACAGUCAGUGGAUACAAGAUCGUGAAUAU